rnacentral:rRNA from 1 species
UCUACGGGAGGCAGCAGUGAGGAAUAUUGGUCAAUGGACGCAAGUCUGAACCAGCCAUGCCGCGUGCAGGAAGACGGCCCUAUGAGUUGUAAACUGCUUUUGUACGAGGGUAAAUCUCGAUACGUGUACCGGUUUGAAAGUACGGUACGAAUAAGGAUCGGCUAACCCCGUGCCAGCAGCCGCGGGAAUAAGGAGGAUUCAAGCGUUAUCCGGAUUUAUUGGGUUUAAAGGGUGAGUAGGCGGUUCGUUAAGUUAGAGGUGAAAUCCCGGGGCUCAACUCCGGCACUGCCUCGGAUACGGGCGGGCUAGAGUUUAGUUGCGGUAGGCGGAAUGUAUGGUGUAGCGGUGAAAUGCAUAGAGAUCAGACAGAACACCGAUUGCGAAGGCAGCUUACCAAACUACGACUGACGUUGAGGCACGAAAGCGUGGGGAGCAAACAGGAUUAGAUACCCGAGUAGUC